rnacentral:lncRNA from 1 species
CGGGGUUUCAGCUGAUGUGAGGGCAUGUUGAAUUUGGGGUACCUCUGAAAAAAAAUAGGAAUGGGAGAAAAGUUAGUCCAGGGACAGGCCUAGGAAAGCAGGUAUUUGUCUAAUCUGAUGUUUAUUGGAAGCCAUGAGAAUCAAUGAAUGUAUCCAGAAAGUGAGACUAUGAACAAGACAAAUCUGAUGGUAACAUUUUUAGCUUUAAGACUCACAGAUAAAAAGCCAGGCAAAGAGAGAAAGUGAUCAUAUUCAAUGAAUACAGGAGGAAAGAUGAGAGCAGAAAGAAUCCAACUAGGAAACCACACAGUUGGAAACCAACGAAGAAUUUUGAGGAUGACGUUGAGGUCAUGAAGAGGUCAAUGAGCAUAAGGAUUGAAGACACCCACGUUCUGAACAUAGAAGAGGUCUGUUUUCCUAUCAUUCGACACUGAAAUGACGUUUCCAGGAUAAAAUUCUCCAAUUCAUGUCGAGUGUGCUUAUCCAUGUUUUCCCCAGAGUCAAACUCUUGAUGACGGUAUUUAGCAGUUGGUAAAUGCCUAGUGUGCUGAGUCUGUGCAGAUCUGAUACUCUUCACAGUCCCUGACCAAAGCCCCGGAUCCUGAAUCUUACAAAAUGCAAUGGAAUCUUGAAAAAUAGAAAAGACAUGGGUGUUAUCACCAGGCCAACUUUAUGGGAAUUUGAAAUACUAAUAACAUCAACAAAUAACAAUACAUGGAGCAGUGAUAUGACAAGAGCCGUAACUCCCAUAGCAGGUAAGUAGCACAUUGUCAGUAAGGAUGUGGAAAUCAAAGUUUAAUUGUCCUGAGGUUUCUCAGAUUCCUUUUCCUUUCCUGGUGAGGGUGGCAAUGUGUGCCCCUGACACAAUGCACUCUAAUUUCCUUCUAUUUCCUUAGCAUAGGCCCUCAAAGCCCCAUUAUUCCAGAUUUUGUGAUAAACAAAUAUUAAAACAAAUAAAAAAUAAAUGAGCUUACAUGGGAUACCUUUCUACCUCAACAUUGCAACCUGCUUCCCCUCAAUUUCCAGUCUUGCUUGCUUUGCUUUAAUAAAAGUUUCCAAAUGGUUCUUCUUUAAAACAUACUUUUGCAACACCAAAAAAGCUAACUGCAUUGAAGAAUGGCUCUGAUGUUGUUCAAUGUGCGCAACACAGAAUUCAAUAAAAACACAUUUGAUUUUAAAGGGAUU